rnacentral:rRNA from 1 species
UACAGAGGUCCCAAGCGUUGUUCGGAUUCACUGGGCGUAAAGGGUGCGUAGGUGGUCGGGUAAGUCCGAUGUGAAAUCUCCGAGCUCAACUCGGAAACUGCACCGGAUACUAUUCGGCUGGAGGGUUGGAGGGGGGACUGGAAUGCUUGGUGUAGCAGUGAAAUGCGUAGAUAUCAAGAGGAACACCAGUGGCGAAGGCGGCGUUCUGGACUGCAACUGACACUGAGAAACGAAAGCCAGGGUAGCAAACGGG